GGGGCUAUAGCUCAGUUUGGUAGAGCAUCUGCUUUGCACGCAGAGGGUCAGCGGUUCGAUCCCGCUUAGCUCCA
rnacentral:tRNA from 2 species